rnacentral:miRNA from 1 species
CGGUCACUCGUCUCGAGUCACC